UACAGAGGUCUCAAGCGUUGUUCGGAUUCAUUGGGCGUAAAGGGCGCGUAGGCGGCGGGGUAAGUCGGGUGUGAAAUCUCAGAGCUCAACUCUGAAACUGCACUCGAUACUGCUCUGCUUGAGGACUGGAGAGGAGACUGGAAUUCACGGUGUAGCAGUGAAAUGCGCAGAUAUCGGGAGGAACACCAAUGGCGAAGGCAGCUUGCUGGGACGGUACUGACGCUGAGACGCGAAAGCGUGGGGAGCAAACAGG
rnacentral:rRNA from 1 species